rnacentral:sRNA from 1 species
UGACUCGAGCGAAGCGAGAGAACGUUGCUUCAGCAACGGCCCGAAGGGCGAGCCGCGUAGCGGCAAGUAAUCCUCUCUCGCCGACCA